CCGCAUAAGCGCACAGUAUCGCAUGAUGCAGUGUGAAAAACUCCGGUGGUAUGAGAUGGACCCGCGUCUGAUUAGCUUGUUGGUGAGGUAACGACCCACCAAGGCGACGAUCAGUAGCCGGCCUGAGAGGGUGACCGGCCACAUUGGGACUGAGACACGGCCCAAACUCCUACGGGAGGCAGCAGUGGGGAAUAUUGCACAAUGGGGGAAACCCUGAUGCAGCGACGCCGCGUGAAGGAAGAAGUAUCUCGGUAUGUAAACUUCUAUCAGCAGGGAAGAUAAUGACGGUACCUGACUAAGAAGCCCCGGCUAACUACGUGCCAGCAGCCGCGGUAAUACGUAGGGGGCAAGCGUUAUCCGGAUUUACUGGGUGUAAAGGGAGCGUAGGCGGCGGAGCAAGUCAGAAGUGAAAGCCCGGGGCUCAACCCCGGGACGGCUUUUGAAACUGCCCUGCUUGAUUUCAGGAGAGGUAAGCGGAAUUCCUAGUGUAGCGGUGAAAUGCGUAGAUAUUAGGAGGAACACCAGUGGCGAAGGCGGCUUACUGGACUGACAAUGACGCUGAGGCUCGAAAGCGUGGGGAGCAAACAGGAUUAGAUACCCUGGUAGUCCACGCCGU
rnacentral:rRNA from 1 species